rnacentral:tRNA from 1 species
UGGGGCGUCGCCAAGUGGUAAGGCACUGGAUUUUGAUUCCAGCAUUCGCAGGUUCGAAUCCUGCCGCCCCAGCCA